rnacentral:rRNA from 1 species
GACGAACGCUGGCGGCGUGCUUAACACAUGCAAGUCGAACGGAAAGGCCUCUUUCGGGGGGUACUCGAGUGGCGAACGGGUGAGUAACACGUGAGUAACCUGCCCUUUACUUUGGGAUAACUUCAGGAAACUGGGGCUAAUACCGGAUAGGAGCUCCUGCUGCAUGGUGGGGGUUGGAAAGUUUCGGCGGUUGGGGAUGGACUCGCGGCUUAUCAGCUUGUUGGUGGGGUAGUGGCUUACCAAGGCUUUGACGGGUAGCCGGCCUGGGAGGGUGACCGGCCACAUUGGGACUGAGGUACGGCCCAGACUCCUACGGGAGGCAGCAGGGGGGAAGAUUGCACAAUGGGUGGAAGCCUGAUGCAGCAACGCCGUGGGCGGGAUGACGGGCUUCGGGUUGUAAACCGCUUUCGCUCAUGACGAAGCUUUGUGUGACGGUAGUGGGUAAAGAAGCACCGGCUAACUACGUG